UACGGAGGGGGCUAGCGUUGUUCGGAAUUACUGGGCGUAAAGGGUGCGUAGGCGGCUGUCCAAGUCGGGUGUGAAAGCCCCGGGCUCAACCCGGGAUGUGCAUCCGAGACUGGGCGGCUAGAGUUCGGGAGAGGUGAGUGGAAUUCCCAGUGUAGAGGUGAAAUUCGUAGAUAUUGGGAAGAACACCGGUGGCGAAGGCGGCUCACUGGACCGACACUGACGCUGAGGCACGAAAGCGUGGGGAG
rnacentral:rRNA from 1 species